rnacentral:rRNA from 1 species
UACGGAGGGGGCUAGCGUUGUUCGGAAUUACUGGGCGUAAAGCGCACGUAGGCGGCUUUGUAAGUUAGAGGUGAAAGCCCGGGGCUCAACUCCGGAACUGCCUUUAAGACUGCAUCGCUUGAAUCAUGGAGAGGUUAGUGGAAUUCCGAGUGUAGAGGUGAAAUUCGUAGAUAUUCGGAAGAACACCAGUGGCGAAGGCGACUAACUGGACAUGUAUUGACGCUGAGGUGCGAAAGCGUGGGGAGCAAACAGGG